UGGGAGAUAAAGGACUUAUCAAAACAUACGAAGACCAGCCCUUAUUUGAAGUUUCCAAAACAGAAAAUUGGCUUGCUCAUUCACUUCAGAAGAGGAAGAUAACUUAUACAAACAGACACAUAUAUGCACACCACACCCACACACACCCACACACAAACACACACCCACCCACACACACACACACACACACACAUUCACACGUGAAUGCUGCCUGGGUGCUUUCUUAAUGUCUUCAUGAAAUAAAAAUUAAACUAAAGUGGCUGACAGUCCCACACCACAGAAGCCACCGCAGAACCCGAUACCCCUGAGGACAGUCACAAUGUGAUCUGUACUGUUAACUGUUCAAAGCACUUUCAUGGAUGACUCACAUGAAAUCACAUGUGCCUGGCAUUGCAUCUUAUGGGCCAGAGGGUGGCAUCCCUCUCUACACAUCACCUCAUCUCCCUUUCACAAGGGCUGGGACCACAUUGCCUUUCCAGACAGGAGCCCUCCGAGAGGCCCAACAAGCAGCUGA